AAUGAACCAGUCCAGAUACAUUGAGAAGAUACUGGAAAGGUUUGGUAUGGCAGAGUGUAAACCCAGAGCCACACCUAGUGAAAUCAAAUGUGAUCUAGUUCCAGAAGGAGAACAAACUGAUCAGAGAAAAUACAGGGAAAUGCUGGGCAGCCUCAUCUACAUCAUGACCUGUACUAGACCUGAUAUAAGCUGGAUUGUGAGCAGACUGUCACAACAUAUGUCUGAUCCCAGAGAAAAACACCUGACAGCUUUGAAACAUGUGUACAGGUACUUACAAGGGACUAAGGACUAUGAAUUGUGUUAUAACAAGUGUAACACUAAAUUAGAGUUGAUAGGAUACUCUGAUGCCGAUUGGGCCAACGAUGUUCUUGACAGGAAGAGCACUACAGGCUAUUGCUUCAGCCUAAGUCCAAGUGGAGAUAUUGUUUCAUGGAAAACAAAGAAACAGCAAACAGUUUCACUGUCGACAUGUGAGGCUGAGUAUGUAGCAUUGGCAGCUACCAUCCAAGAAGCGCUCUACCUAUCCCAACUACUACGGGACAUGGACCACAGCAAAGGUGUUUGAAGAUAACCAAGGGUCAAUACGCCUUGCAAAGAACCCUGUGUAUCGCCAGAGGAGCAAGCACGUGGACAAUAAAUACCACUUCAUAAGGUCAAAUGUUUCACAUGGAAAAGUUAUUUUGGUUUAUUGUCCAACAGAAAACAUGGUUGCAGAUGUGUUCACAAAGUCUGCCACAAAAGGCAAAAUUGAAAAAUUUUGUUCUUACAUGUUUGGAAAAUAGCGUUGUGGUUAGAAUGUGUGGCACCAUCAAGUGGGGGUGUUGACUAUGAUGUUUGCCACUACUGUGUUUAUGUUGGCACUAUUUUGUUAAGCGGAAGGUUACGCUAAGUAAUAAAGGCGGAGCCUCCUCCCUUCUCCCUCCUGAGUGUUCGGGCAGAGCAGGGCAGUGUGGUUGCCGGUUGAUGUUGGUGGUGUCUCCUGUGUCUUGUGUGUUGCAUGGGUGAGUUGAUGCACCUACAAGGAUGUUUUCGAGCGAUGCAGAGGAGCCAAGUGAUUCCAGGGGGAGUGGCGGGAUACCCGCUACAGAACAAUCAACAUUCUCCACGUAGACACCAGGCAGCCUGUGCAUCAGGCUUUGUCUCUCAUCGCUCCCAGAUGGGAGAAACAAGCUCAGGCCUCCCAUUGGUCCUUAUCAAGUAGAUUUCCAGACUAUAAUCUUCAUCAUCCAUCAUCAAGCUGUAACACUCCACUUAUGAAGAAAGGUGAGGGACACCGGUAACCCAAUACCACGGGUGGGUCCGAUUCUGAUACCUUCUCCCUUCUGAGCAGAUGUCUGAUGAAAAAAGAAGCGGUAAGAUGUCACUGGUUGACCUGGACUGGGAGGAGAAGGCUUAGGUUGAUUACUGGAAGGUUUUGAUCCCUGUCAACAUGAAUGUUGUAUGAACUUUACAUUUUUUCAGGAUUUUUUGAUCUUUUCUUUUCCUGAGGUGGAAUGAUCGGACAGUUAAUGAAUUUGAAAACAAUUAUUU